rnacentral:piRNA from 1 species
AUGAAGGUGGUUUUCCCAGGGCGAGGCUUA